UACAGAGGGUGCGAGCGUUGUCCGGAAUCACUGGGCGUAAAGGGCGCGUAGGUGGCGGGAUAAGCGUGUGGGGAAAGCCCGGGGCUCAACCCCGUGUCUGCCAUGCGGACUGUCUUGCUCGAGCGUAGUAGAGGCAGGUGGAAUUCCGGGUGUAGCGGUGGAAUGCGUAGAGAUCCGGAAGAACACCGGUGGCGAAGGCGGCCUGCUGGGCUACUGCUGACACUGAGGCGCGACAGCGUGGGGAGCAAACAGG
rnacentral:rRNA from 1 species